ensembl:lncRNA
ACUCAAACUCUCACAUGAUUUCUAUUCAGCACUGUCUACAGUUAAAAAUAGUCUCUGUCACAACUGUUUGGGAUGGCCCAAACCCUGUGGGAGGAUCAUGACAACCAGUAAGACAAGCUGUUAAACUCUCUUUGUAGAAGCAUUCAAUGCCCUGUCGGACAGAAUGGAAUUUCUCUUUGUCACUUUACUUUUACUUCUGACAAUAAUAUAUCCAUCCAGUGGUGUUGUCAACAUUGUUCAGGAACCCAAAAUGUCAUUUGUCAACCUGAAUUCGUCUGUGACAUUGAAAUGUGACCACGAUAACACUGACCACUACAGGAUGUCCUGGUACAGACAAACAGGAGAAAAACAGGAUCUGGAGUUACUGGCAUUUUCUAUGGGUCAAAAUAGUGUAAACAUUGAGCCACCGUUUGAUAAAACGGACAAAUAUAAAUUCACCCGACCUGAAGUGAAGAAGGGCAUGCUGCAGAUUAAGAAUAUGGAAGCUAGAGACUCUGCUAUAUACUUCUGUGCUACAAGUAUGACACAGUAACUCAGAGCAGUCUAACAGUUAGUCAUUAACCUCAGCAGCUCCCCUGGAGCAGUGCAAUGAGGAGGUGAAGCACAUCUGGACUUGUGGUUGGUACUUUCCAGGUGCCCCUGAGGAGAACACUAACCAGGAGAACUGAGAUGUGAAGGCGAAACAGCACUGAUAUAAAUAAAGAACAUUUCAGUAACACUACUACACAAUAGUGACAUAACCAUGUCAUAAGCAUGCCAUAGCAGUCCUUCAUAAAGCUAUUGGGAGUGUUUUGGUUAGUCUGUUUUCUUAGACUGACUAAGAACUCUGACCGUAGCCAGAACUUUUUCAAUAGAGUGGUCAGGUUGGACCCAGAAAUUUUACUGGGGGCAGCAAACUGCUAGGUGUGUGUUAACGUUAUUAGAAAAUAAAAUUUGUCAGGGUAACAAGCUAAGUGACAUAAGCUGUCAUGACUUCAAACAUUAUGACAUCUCUCAUGGCAAUUAUCAGUAACGGUAACAUGACACGGUUAUGUAACUGGGAAAAAAAAGUAUCCAAGACAAAUCAUGGCAGUAUGCCAAUGUUACGUAGGAGGGUUCAGGUAGAUAUUACCAAUUUUUGGCUUUGGGUGGUGUGUGAAAGUGUUCACAAUUACUGUUCUCACGAUUACGAUUUUGAUUGACUUGAAAGAGACGUACAAUGCAGACACAAUACAAACUUGCCCACAAUAAAACUGAGUUUAUAUAUUGGUUUUGUUUAUUGUUAAUUUAUUCAUUAUUUUUAUUGUUUAUUAUGUGCCAUUGUUUGAGUUUCAAGAGCCUUUGAUGCUACUAACAAGAACUUGAUGCAUCCCUGGACCCAUUCAUUCUGGAUAAUUAGUGAUCCUGAAGUGUAUGCUGACCUCAGUGUAGAGCAGAUCACACAUUUCUGUGAUAGUCUGUCUAGCUGAUUUCUUAAAACACAAGUAAAAGCUCAUGUCUUCAAAUAGACACAUAGACUCUUUCUCCCUCCUGUCACUGACCCUUCACUCAUU